rnacentral:rRNA from 1 species
GUGCAGCAGUCGCGAAUCUUCCACAAUGGGGGAAACCCUGAUGGAGCGACGCCGCGUGCGGGAUGAAGGCCCUAUGGGUUGUAAACCGCUGUUCAGUGGAAAGAACAUCCUCCGGCUGAAUAGGUCGGAGGCCUGACGUUACCACUGCAGAAAGUCCCGGCCAACUCCGUGCCAGCAGCCGCGGUAAUACGGGGGGACGAGCGUUGUCCGGAAUCAUUGGGCGUAAAGGGCGCGUAGGCGGCGAGGAAAGUCGAAUGUGAAAUCUUGCGGCUCAACUGCAAAACUGCGUUCGAAAACUUCCUCGCUUGAGUAUGAGAGGAGGUGUGCGGAAUUCCUGGUGUAGCGGGUGGAAUGCGUAGAUAUCAGGAGGAACGACCGGUGG